rnacentral:misc_RNA from 1 species
GCGAAACGGUCCUGUAAGCAGUAGAGUAGCCUUGUUGUUACGAUCUGCUGAGGGUAAGCCGUCCUUCGCCUCGAUUUCCCCAAUGGGUUCUCCGGAUUUCUGGAGACUUGUAGGGGUUGUGGGUUUUUCGAUGUGUCGUCUCCGGACGGGCGGUGCAGGGUAUUCGAGUUAGACUUGGUGGAAUUCCGUCGAUAGGAGUUCCGUCGAGUCUGGUCGGCUGUGUGUUGGACGGUGCAGGGUAGGCUGCUUGGACAUGGUCGGUUCGAGGAUCGAUUCGAGGGCCGGCCCGUCGAUGAUGUGUGAUGUAUGCGGUCUAGGGUAGGCUGGUUUGUCUUGGUCCAAGUUGAUGUCGGCUCCCGUGCAGGCCAGAGUGAGGGGGGUCCAGGGUAGGUCCAGGGUAGGCAGCUUAGACUUGGUCGAUCUGGAGGUCGAUUCUCCGGCUGGCGGAUCUGACACUGUCGAAACGAGAUGCGAGCGGUGUAGGGUAGGCUAGUUUCGUCGCCGACAGUUUUCUGUGGGUGUAUGGUAGGUACAGGGUAGGCAAAUCUCUCUCCGGCCAGUACUUGUCUGGUGGUCGUGAGUCGAUUUUUUUGUUUUGCCAUACUAUUGAAUUUUGCGGAAAUUCAAAAGUGGCUCGGGAGUCCCGCCUGGCGUGCGUCCGACUCGAACAUCGUCGGUGUACAUAUGAGAGGGAGUAAUCCGGCCCGGCCGGGGCCCAUCGCGAGCUGCCGGGUAGGUAAAAGUAAAAAAGUUGUUAAGAGGCGCGGUGUCGGCGUGCUUGUAUUUGCGGGAGAGAAUUAUCUGGAGGUGCUGGGUAGCCGGGAAGACUUGGACGGAUCUGGCCCGGGAAUGGGUCUGGGCCUGGAUUCUGGUGUGGUGUAGGGUAGGCGUAGAUAGAUGAGUGGUCUAGGGUAGAUACAGGGUAGCCAGAAGUCUGGUAUAUAGUAUGGGGGGUGUAGGGUAGGUCUGGACACCGUUUUCCACUUCGCCCUUCCCUUUACUCGAGGGAGGACGAUCUUGGCUAGGACGGAGGUGUAGGGUAGGCUUAAUUUACGAUUACAUGAUCUGUGUCGCUCUAGGGUAGGUGAAAAUCCCAUAUAUAUCUGAUCACAUUUGGUGAAGAGGUGGUUUGGCUGGUGAGAUGGACAAAAGUGCAAUGUAGAAUUAUAUGUGAUUUUCCAAAAGUGGGUGUGAAAUUGGAAAGUUGGUUUUCCCGCACAGAUGAGAGCACGCUUGAGGUGCCAUGAGAUGCGCCUCUCCGAGACGAUCCCAACGGGACCACCCAUGUGUCGGUCGGGCUCCUGUGCGGCCGUCCAGGGCGGGAUAAGUAAAAGAUGUGGUGGUGUAGGGUAGGUAGAUAGGUCCAGGGUAGGUUCGCCAGAUCCGUCAAUUCGGCUUGAAUGGAAGGACAGGUCUAGGGUAGGCCAGAGUCGGGUCUAGGGUAGGCAGCUCUCACCCUCGAAGUGGCCUACCCGGCAGUCAACUUCAAUCGCCUCUCACGGCCGCCACGGACCUCGCAUGAUGACGGGAUCACCACCAUCGGAUUUGCCUUGGUCGAAAUAGUCGGUAUAUGCACUUUUGAAAAAAUGCGUGCGAAAUGGUUUUGUGGUUUGGUGGCCGUGAGUCGAUUUUUUUGUUUUCCCAUACAAAUGAAUUUUGCGGAAAAUAAAAAGUGGCCCACGAGGCAGCUCUGGCGUGCGGCCCACUAAAACGGUCUCGGAGGGUAUAUGAGAAGGGAGCAAAUCCGGCCGAGCCUGAAAGGGUGAGGACAAACCGGGCGAGCAACCUCUCAGUAUCAGAUCUUGCAGACUUCCACUGCGUGUCCCUCUGUACAGCUUUGCAGGCUCCGGCCUCGGCAGCGGGGGGUUCAUAGUGGUCGUCGACCUCCACGAAACUGCACGCUCCGGCGUGACAGCGUACUGGGGAUGCCUGUGUAGAUGCAGUCCGGGCUUGCCUGGACCGCUAGCAGAUGGGCUCUGUGGAUGACUGGCCGCUGGCUAGACCUGAAACCUGAGCAACGGGAGGUAACCUCUCGCCGCGGA